CGGACGGGUGAGUAACGCGUGGAAAACCUGCCGUAUACUGGGGGAUAACACUUAGAAAUAGGUGCUAAUACCGCAUAAGCGCACAGCUUCGCAUGAAGCGGUGUGAAAAACUCUGGUGGUAUACGAUGGUUCCGCGUCUGAUUAGCUGGUUGGUGGGGUAAUGGCCUACCAAGGCAACGAUCAGUAGCCGGCCUGAGAGGGUGAACGGCCACAUUGGGACUGAGACACGGCCCAAACUCCUACGGAAGGCAGCAG
rnacentral:rRNA from 1 species